GCAGCAGAAGUUGCAGAGAAGAGUGAGGCACGUUUGAAAAAGGCUGAAAAAUGUUUCUGUCCAGGCAAGGGUGUGUGCUGAAUGACUCAAGGAUUUUUUGGUGCAUUGAAUGAACAGCGGGACAUUGGACACCUGCUGAUCCAUCACCCCGGGCCCGGGCAGGCCCGUGGAUGAAGAGAGAUGGAGAAGACCAGGCAUGAGACUGUGGAGAAGCCACACCACCAGAAACCCCUGCCCCAUGCGCCGUCCAGCCCACACCUGUGGAUGCACGGGGGAUUGCAGGCAGGGCUCCCACCGUGGACUCAGGAACAGGCAGGGAAGCUGCUGCCUCACCAGGCGAAGGGGCCAGGAGGGGGAGGCGGAGAGGCCCGUCU
rnacentral:lncRNA from 1 species